rnacentral:tRNA from 1 species
GCCGGGGUAGCUCAGCAGGUAGAGCAGCGGACUGAAAAUCCGUGUGUCGGCGGUUCAAUUCCGCCCCCCGGCA